rnacentral:rRNA from 1 species
GACAGAGGGUGCAAACGUUGUUCGGAAUUACUGGGCGUAAAGCGCGUGUAGGCGGCUAAGUAAGUCGGGCGUGAAAUCCCACGGCUCAACCGUGGAAGUGCACUCGAAACUGCAUAGCUAGAGUCCUGGAGAGGAAGGUGGAAUGCUUGGUGUAGAGGUGAAAUUCGUAGAUAUUCGCAAGAACACCAGUGGCGAAGGCGGCUCACUGGCCCGGAACUGACGCUGAGGUGCGAAAGCGUGGGGAGCAAACAGG